UGGGGAAUUUUGGACAAUGGGCGCAAGCCUGAUCCAGCCAUGCCGCGUGAGUGAAGAAGGCCUUCGGGUUGUAAAGCUCUUUUGUCAGGGAAGAAAUGCUCUGGGCUAAUACCCUGGGGUGAUGACGGUACCUGAAGAAUAAGCACCGGCUAACUACGUGCCAGCAGCCGCGGUAAUACGUAGGGUGCGAGCGUUAAUCGGAAUUACUGGGCGUAAAGCGUGCGCAGGCGGUUUUGUAAGUCAGAUGUGAAAUCCCCGGGCUCAACCUGGGAACUGCAUUUGAGACUGCAAGGCUAGAGUGUAGCAGAGGGGGGUAGAAUUCCACGUGUAGCAGUGAAAUGCGUAGAGAUGUGGAGGAAUACCGAUGGCGAAGGCAGCCCCCUGGGUUACUACUGACGCUCAUGCACGAAAGCGUGGGGAGCAAACA
rnacentral:rRNA from 1 species